rnacentral:piRNA from 1 species
GGGAACAUGCAGCACUGGAGCCUCGCCACC